UUGAACUUGAGGUUGUUGAAAUUGUUAAUCUUGAGAAUUGGGUAUUGGUUGAACUUGAGUUUGUGUCGUGUUUGAAUGUGAGUUUGGUUUGUGUUUUAACUUGAGUUUGUGAUGUUUUUGAAUUUGAGUUUGUGUGUUUGUUGAACUUGAGUUUGUGUUGUGUUCGAUCUUCAGUUUGUGGUGAUUUUGAACUUGAGUUUGUGACAUUUUUGAACUUGAGUUUGUGGCGUUUUUGAACUUGAGUUUGUGGUGUUUCUGAACUUGAGUUUGUGGUGUUUUUGAACUUGAGGUUGUGGCGUUUGUUGAACUUGAGUUUCUGUUGUUUUUGAACUUGAAUUUGUGUCGUGUUUGAACUUGAGUUUGUGGCAUUUGUUGAACUUGAGUUUGUGGUGUUUUUUAACUUGAGGGUGUGGAAUUUGUUAAACUUGAGAAUUGGGUUUUGGUUGAACUUGCGUUUUUGUGUUUUUUAAAUUAGGUUUGUGUAGUGUUUGAACCUGAGUUUGUGGUGUUUUUGAACUUGAGGUGCGUGUUUGGUGACCUUGAGUUUGUGUCGUGUUUGAAUGUGAGUUUGGUUCGUGUUUUAACUUGAGUUUGUGAUGUUUUUGAAUUUGAGUUUGUGUGUUGGUUGAACUUGAGUUUGUGUUGUGUUUGAACUUGAGUUUGUGGUGUUUUUGAAUUUGAGUUUGUGUGUUGGUUGAACUUGAGUUUGUUGCGUUUUUUUGAACUUGAGUUUGUGUUGUUUGAACUUGAGUUUGUGUGGUGUUUGAACUUGAGUUUGUAGCGUGUUUGACCAUGAGUUUGGUGUUUUUGAACUUGAGUUUUUGUGUUCGUUGAACUUGAGUUUGUUUUGUGUUUGCACUUGAGUUUGUGGUGUUUUUGAACUUGAUUUGGUGUGUUUGUUGAACUUGAGUUUCGUGUUUGAACUUGAGUUUGUGGUUUUUGUUGAACUUGAUUUUGUGUCGUGUUUGAACUUGAGUUUGUGGUUUUUGUUGAACUUGAGUUUGUGUCGUGUUUGAACUUGAGUUUGUGUGUUUUUUGAACUUGAGUUUGUG